rfam:Nomascus leucogenys chromosome X, whole genome shotgun sequence.
GGGGUGUGCUCAGAGCAGGGGGCCCAAAGAAUGGCUCCUCUGUUUACAACACACCCAACAGGAAUCUGGGGUCAUUGUGAUGAGGGCCUCAAACUUGUGGCUUCCCUAUGAACAAAUGUCCCCCUACACCU